CCUACGGGAGGCAGCAGUCGGGAAUAUUGCGCAAUGGAGGAAACUCUGACGCAGUGACGCCGCGUAUAGGAAGAAGGUCUUCGGAUUGUAAACUAUUGUAGACAGGGAAGAAACAAGACAGUACCUGAAAAGUAAGCUCCGGCUAACUACGUGCCAGCAGCCGCGGUAAUACGUAGGGAGCGAGCGUUAUCCGGAUUUAUUGGGUGUAAAGGGUGCGUAGACGGGAAUACAAGUUAGUUGUGAAAGCCCUCGGCUCAACUGAUGAAUUGCAACUAAAACUAUAUUUCUUGAGUACUGGAGAGGAAAGCGGAAUUCCUAGUGUAGCGGUGAAAUGCGUAGAUAUUAGGAGGAACACCAGUGGCGAAGGCGGCUUUCUGGACAGCAACUGACGUUGAGGCACGAAAGUGUGGGGAGCAAACAGGAUUAGAUACCCGUGUAGUC
rnacentral:rRNA from 1 species